GGUACCCUCUCUCUCUCCCCUUUCUGUUUCUUCUUCGCCAAUUUCCCAGAUCCUGUCUCUCCCAAGAUGGGUUCAUGGUGAUUAAUUAAGAGGCGAAGAAAGGAAUGAUAAGAGAGAGAAGCAACGAGCUAAUUAAUAGGUGGAGAUUUUCAGAGUAAGGGAAUAGCUAGCUAAAGAGAAAGCUCUCACUCUCAUCUCAGUAUCUCACUAAGAGAGCCAGAGAGAGAGAAGGCAAACUGGGCAAAUUCUCCACCUCACUCUCUCCUUUGUAAAACUCUAGUUUCUUUCAAUCUUUCUAAUCGUUUUCCUCUGAAAGUCUCUUUCUAUCAUGCUCUCUCUUUCUCUCUCUCCUCUGUUGCUUUCUUUCUGAGGAGCAGCAAAAUCAAACAUUAGGGGUCAUUCCCAAUCGACCCAUUCGACUGAAACUUCAAUGGAAGAGGAAAUCAUUGUUCAUCUCUCCUUUAAUCCAGUGAAAAUUCUUCCAUCUAGGUCUGCCUAAUCCCAACCACCAAUAACCCUUUAUCCUACUCCAAUCCUAGUCGCCAAACUCGGCUAGCCAUCAACUCUGCAGCUUCGCCAAACUUGGGUCGUGAGAGUGAAGGACAGAAGGAAAAUAAAAACAGGAGAGAGAAAUGGAAGGAAGAUCCUCAACUUCUUGAAAUUUCAGAGUGUUGUUUUUGUAUUUGUGUCCUCCUUUUGGUUUUAAGGGUUGAGUGCAUGGAUAUUAAUUAGUCGAAUCCUAGUUUAAUAAGUCUUCAUAUCUGCUUAGAUUUUUGAGUCUUUGUUAAAUGAUAAUUUCAAUAUGUUAACAUAUUCUACUUGCUAUUUAUUGCUUUGUGUUACCUUUUCUUACUAAUGUUUGUACAGUUCAUUUGUGCAAGCAUGACAGAUGAUAUAAGAGGCUCUAUUUUCAAUAGAGGAUGAUGAUGAUUUGUCCAAGACCAAGAACUCCUUUGGGUGGAUUAAAAGAGUCUCUGUCUUAUAUUGAGCAGGAAGUUAUCUCCUAGUCAGAAUCUAUCGAACAUGGAGGUAAAGAAGCUCUUCAAUCAUUCCAAUAGCUCAAUGGAGGUAAAGAAUCUGACGAAGUUCGUUGCCUUAAAUCCAGAAUCUAGUGAAGAUGGAAGAAAAAAAGCUUUCCAAUCACCAAGUAUUCAGAGUUUGCACCUCAACGAAGACAAACCUCUCUCUAGAUCGCUGCAGAAGCUCUCUCUCUAAAUCGCAGACGAAGCUCUCUCUCUCUCGUCGAAUCAAUCUCAAUGUUCUCUCUCAUCGAAUCGAUCUUAGCAUUCUCUCUCUCAUCGAAUCGAUCUCAGCGUUCUCUCUCUCUACACUCUGUAGUCCGUAAAUUGCACACUCUCUAAUUAAUCAUUGAGCAUAUUUUUGAAUUCCUUCAGGAAGUCAUCAAAGCCAGAAUUGGAAAGACCAGAUGCGGCUUUCAAUUUGUACAAGUUUAAGGUGGCUGAUAGCUUUGUGUAUUUUGUACAACCUGGGUAUAGAGGAACUUCAGCCUCCAUAAUCUUCUUUUUGUACUUAUCUUCUAUAUUUGUACAAGAUGCACUUGCAACGCCAUCAGGAAACUGAAAGCAGGCAUCUUUAUACAUCUGAUGCGCUUCUGGCAUUUCAUAAUCCUCAUCAAGGUGAGGUGACAUUACAUAAUCAUUAACUUGUACAGAUGUGCUAGGCUCACCGUGGGCGACCCAAACUUUAUAUUUAGGAUCAAAGCCGUAUUUGAUCAAAUGUAAGAACAAGUCAUCAUCAGUUUGUGGGCUACAGUUUCCACA